CAGUCGCCGCGGUAAUACCGAGGGUGCGAGCGUUAAUCGGAAUUACUGGGCGUAAAGCGUGCGCAGGCGGUUAUAUAAGACAGAUGUGAAAUCCCCGGGCUCAACCUGGGAACUGCAUUUGUGACUGUAUAGCUAGAGUACGGCAGAGGGGGAUGGAAUUCCGCGUGUAGCAGUGAAAUGCGUAGAUAUGCGGAGGAACACCGAUGGCGAAGGCAAUCCCCUGGGCCUGUACUGACGCUCAUGCACGAAAGCGUGGGGAGCAAACAGGAUUAGAUACCCCUGUAGUCCCUGUCUCUUAUAC
rnacentral:rRNA from 1 species